GUGUGCCACCACUGUUUCUUGAACAAAGUUGAUGUUGUUGAAGAUGUAGAGUUAAUAUAACUUGUACAUAUGGAACUUCCAGAGCUCUUCAUUUUCUACAAGUUCUUUGGCGAUGAGAUUCCUACCAUAUGUGGAUCUGCCUUGUCAGUCUUAAACGAAAUAAAUGACGAGAUUGGAAAGAGUGCUAUUUGUUGAGACUAAUGGAUGAGAGAGAUUACUUUUAGUCCUCGGGGUGGAAGCAACAGCCCGACAGGAUCAUCUUCACAUAGCCGAUUGGUUUGCCAAUAAUUCUAAACAUUGAUAAAGAGGAGUUUGGAACCUCUGUUGAUGAAGAAGAGGUGAAUGAGGAUCGCUCCGUCCGGUGAAGUAGGAAGCUGACUUCAAGGAUUGGCGUUCCUACAAGCGUGUUAAAGUUGAUGGUCAAAUAAGAGCAAAGUGUCUUAAAUGUGGUAAGCUUCUUGGAGGAGAAACGAAGAGUGGAACAUCACAUAUGUUAGCCCAUAAUGAUAUAUAUCCAUAUGGCACAAGGCCCUUGAUGAAUGGCAAAGUGAUGGCUCAAUCUUCCUUGAGGUUUGCUGCUAAAGAUGGAUGCAAGGAUUCAUUGGAUAAUUACAUAUUUGAUCAAGAUUUUGCUAGGGGAGCGUUUGUUGCCAUGAUAAUUCUGCAUGAGUAUCCAUUGUGUAUGAUGGAUCAUGCUGGAUUCUGGAGAUGUUAGUGCACUGCAGCCUAAAUUCAAGCUGGUGCAUAUGAAUACUGUUAGGAGUGAUAUUAUCAAGUUUUGCAAAGAAGAAUAAAAAAGGCUAUAAAGUACAUGAGCUCCUGCAAUUCAAGAGUGGCCAUCACCACCAGAGACUACUUGGUUCAUUUAUGUACCAAUAAGACAUACUGCAGAAGUUAUAGUUGAAGAACUAGCAAAGUCCUUGGUUGAAUGGAACCUAGACGAGAAGCUUUCUACUGUCACAAUUGAUAAUUGCACAUCUAAUGACAAGACUAUUGAACUGCUGAUGAAGAAGCUGG